UAGGGAAUAUUGCGCAAUGGGCGAAAGCCUGACGCAGCGACGCCGCGUGAGGGAUGAAGGCUCUCGGGUCGUAAACCUCUUUUGGCAGGGAAGAAGCGCAAGUGACGGUACCUGCAGAAUAAGCCCCGGCCAACUACGUGCCAGCAGCCGCGGUAAUACGUAGGGGGCGAGCGUUGUCCGGAUUUAUUGGGCGUAAAGAGCUCGUAGGCGGUUUGACAAGUCGGCGGUGAAAGCCUGGGACUCAACUCCGGGACGCCCGUCGAUACUGUCAUGACUCGAGUCCGGUAGAGGAGUGUGGAACUCCUGGUGUAGCGGUGAAAUGCGCAGAUAUCAGGAAGAACACCGGUGGCGAAGGCGGCACUCUGGGCCGGUACUGACGCUGAGGAGCGAAAGCUAGGGGAGCAAACAGG
rnacentral:rRNA from 1 species